GUCUUAUUCCGAAUAGCUUCUUAUAUUUGUGCGGGUGUCUCUCUUAUGUUGGGGUCCAUCCCAAGAGCAAAUACCAUAAGAGGCAAAUACCGUAAAAGCAUAUACAUAGGUGCAGGAAGUGUUGCUGGGUGGUUCAUUCAAGUUCUACUGACUUCUAUCAUGACUGGUUUCCAAGGAAACAGAAUAUGUAAUCAACCGAGGCAUGGGAAAGUUUCCUAGCAACAGCAAAAAGAACAUGAGAAAGUUUCCUUAUAAUGUUAGUAACAGAACAAAAUGGCCGGCUAGACAGGUAACAGUUACCUAGGCCUUAACACUUCCUUUGCCUCUGCACCAGGACUAAAAAUGGACAAAAGAAAACAGGAGCAAGGAUCAUGAACUUCCAUUGUUCUGGGCAACAGUAAAGACCACAGGCAUCCACUUGGUCCCUGGCAUCAGCAUGUUCCACUGACCUCUGCGUGGUCUCCUAUGGCAGUACAGGCAACAGACAUCAACAGGGCCCUCUGCCACUGCACAGCCCAGACACCAUCAUAACCCUCAGUGGCAGCAUAUACCACAGACAUCAACAUGACUUCAGGCUGCACCAGACUACAGACAUUCACAUGGCCCUUGGUGGUAACAUGGGCCAUGGACAUCACCUCACACUCCACCAGUAAGACAUGGAAGAGCCCCUGGAGGAAGCAUGACCCACAAAUAUCAGGAUGGCCUCAGGUGGUGACCAAGACCAAGAAUAUUCAUAUAGCCUUUGAUGGUAACUCAGGCCAGAGACAUCAUGGCCCUGGCUGCUGUAAGACCAUGAGCACUAACCUCCAGCUUUAACACAGCCUGGAAGAGAGGAUCAUGGAUACCAAAGUGGACCCCAGGGACAGCAUUGGCCGUAGCAGUCUUUCCAGGAGGUUCAAUCAAGAAAAUGAAUAAUUAUUAAUCUUGGAAUCCUGUAGUUGGGCAAACGGGUGUCUGGGCAGCAUUUUCCAAGGCUGAGUGUGAUUCUGCUUUGUUGAAGACUUGUUCAUGAGAGCUCAUGGGAAGAUACUUUUAUGUAGCAAAUGGGGGCUGAAAACCAGAACUGUAUUCUAAGGAAGGUAUAAGCUCCAUUUUAAAAAGGGGGAUCCUUCCACUCUACCAAACUGGACUGCUGGUGUAUCCAUGAAUUGUUGGCAAGUGGAUCGAGCCGAGAUGCUGCUGCUAACUUGUGAAGGGAACUGCCGAUUUCCAGACGACACAGGAGUUGCUCCCAAGAGCCCUCUAAACAGGUCCACUUCCU
rnacentral:sRNA from 1 species